rnacentral:rRNA from 1 species
AACACAUGCAAGUCGAGGGGCAUCACGAGGUAGCAAUACUUUGGUGGCGACCGGCAGACGGGUGAGUAACGCGUAUGCAACCUACCCUGUACAGGGGGAUANNNNNNNNNNNNNNNNNNNNNNNNNNNNNNNNNNNNNNNNNAGGCAUCUAUAGAAAUUUAAAGCUCCGGCGGUUACAGAUGGGCAUGCGUGACAUUAGCUAGUUGGUAAGGUAACGGCUUACCAAGGCUACGAUGUCUAGGGGUUCUGAGAGGAUUACCCCCCACACUGGUACUGAGACACGGACCAGACUCCUACGGGAGGCAGCAGUGAGGAAUAUUGGUCAAUGGGCGCAAGCCUGAACCAGCCAUCCCGCGUGCAGGAUGACGGCCCUAUGGGUUGUAAACUGCUUUUAUACACCAAGAAAAAUCCCCACGUGUGGGGAACCGACGGUAAGUGUAUGAAUAAGCAUCGGCUAACUCCGUGCCAGCAGCCGCGGUAAUACGGAGGAUGCAAGCGUUAUCCGGAUUCAUUGGGUUUAAAGGGUGCGCAGGUGGGAAAAUAAGUCAGUGGUGAAAUACUGCCGCUUAACGGUAGAAUUGCCAUUGAUACUGUAUAGCUGGAAUAUGGUUGCUGUGAGUGGAAUGUGUGGUGUAGCGGUGAAAUGCAUAGAGAUCACACAGAAUAUCGAUUGCGAAGGCAACUCACAAAGCCAUUAUUGACGCUGAUGCACGAAAGUGUGGGGAUCAAACAGGAUUAGAUACCCUGGUAGUCCACACUGUAAACGAUGAUAACUAGCUGUCGGCGAUACACAGUCGGUGGCCAAGCGAAAGCGAUAAGUUAUCCACCUGGGGAGUACGACCGCAAGGUUGAAACUCAAAGGAAUUGACGGGGGCCCGCACAAGCGGAGGAACAUGUGGUUUAAUUCGAUGAUACGCGAGGAACCUUACCCGGGCUCGAACGGUGCAGGAAUAUUUCAGAGAUGGAUUAGUCCUUCGGGACAUGUAUCGAGGUGCUGCAUGGUUGUCGUCAGCUCGUGCCGUGAGGUGUCGGCUUAAGUGCCAUAACGAGCGCAACCCUUGUCGUUAGUUACCAUCAAGUAAUGUUGGGGACUCUAGCGAGACUGCCACCGUAAGGUGUGAGGAAGGGGGGGAUGACGUCAAAUCAUCAUGCCCCUUAUGGCCUGGGCUACACACGUGUUACAAUGGUAGGUACAGAGGGCCGCUAUCCAGCGAUGGAAUGCUAAUCUCUAAAGUCGGUCCCAGUUCGGAUUGGAGUCUGCAACCCGACUCCAUGAAGUUGGAUUCGCUAGUAAUCGCGCAUCAGCCAUGGCGCGGUGAAUACGUUCCCGGGCCU